CACAACAACCCUUCAAACUUUCUUGUUUGAAAACCUAUCUAGUAGCAGGGCUAAGCAUCACUACGCAGUUUUUAAAAUAAAACAGGUGCCAAGGACAAGAUAACAAAUAGCAAGGUAGUAAAUGCAGCAAGUAGGUUAACCCAAUUCUCAAUUACCUAAUGCAGCAUUUUCAGUUCAUAAGUGAUAAAAGAUUUAAAACAUUCAAGGAGGGGUCGAUACAUCCGGGGCUUGCCUUGGUUGCAGGGCAGAGAGGGUCCCUCGGAGACUUCCCAAGUCUCGGGUCCUACUUCCUCGAACGGAGCACCGAUCUCGGGGUUCGGUUCAACGGGCGCUCCUUCGGUCACGUGCACUAUACGCAAAAUGAUGAAUGCUCAUGAUAUGCGUAUGACAAUUAUGCAAAAAGGACCAAGUUGAGUAUAACUAGCCUCCUCGGUGCAACACAGAAUAAACAAUAAUUAAAAUUGUUUAAUAGCUUAGUGUCUUUACCCAAGAGGUUGCACCAGUAAAUUAAGACUUCUCUUAAUUCAUAAUUAUUUUAAAAUAACUAAUUAUUAAUCCUAUUUACCUUAAUUAAUUCUUAAUUAAUUACUAAUGACAGUAAUUAAGCAUCAAGGCCAAACAAUAAUUAAAUGCCAAAGGUCAUUAGGGUUAAUGACCCCAGGUCAUCAUAUAAUCCCAAAAUCACUCAAACCCUAAUUUUGAGCAAUUACUAAUUAUUAUUUAAUUAUUCUAGAAUUAUUAUUUAAAUACUAAAUAAGGGUUUAUUAGUGUUUUAUCCAAACAUUAUCCAAAUGCCACCAAAUUUUGUGUGGAGCUAGGGAACCAUAUUCAGAGACUCCCCAUAAAUUUUGGUGAUUUUUGGAUAUAUCCAUAAAUUAUUAAAAUUCCUAGAAGUUUUAUUCAUUAAAUAAAAGAGGCAAUUCUUAAAUAUAUGCAAACUAUCAGAAAAUAAAAUCUACUAUUUUACCUGUGCUCUACUUAUUUCAUAGAACCUAUACACAAAUUUUCAUCAUUUUUGGAUUAGCACACAAUUUUCUACACAAUUUCAAAAAUCAAGCAUUUGUAAUCAAAAAAAGAAAAAGAAAAAGCAACACUGUGCUGCGCAGGCGGCCCGCUUGGUCACGGCCCAAGUCGGCCCGGGAGCUCUCCCGCGUCGCGCGCGGGCGCUGCCCUCCACACAUGGCCACUGACGGGCGGGUCCCGCCCGUCAGAGGCUUCUUCUUCCUCCCACCACCGCUCCGGUGAGCUCAGGCUCCGCGCCGGUGAGCUCCCGGCCUCCGCGGUGGGGUGGGCUAGCACCUCCGGCCUCUCGCGCAACCCCUGGGACACACGGGACAACCUCUACUCCCUCCUAACCCUCCCGCUCACGUCCAUGGCGGACGGCCGCCUCGGCCGAGCAAACGCCGGCCACCAUAAGCGAGUAGAGCGUGAAUUGAGUAGCGCAAAAGCAUCAGGAGCUCACCACGACUUCAACCGA
rnacentral:lncRNA from 1 species